CUGACAAACUCACUGCAGAGUGAGCAGGGAGAAAUGACUCCUACAAUGAUAAGACCAGAGGCUGUGUUUGCUUUUCUCAUCCUGUUUGUUAACUGGACAGGAACUCAUGGCCAAACUCUGACUGAGUCUGAACCAGUGGUGAAAAGGCCUGGAGAAUCCCAGAGACUGACCUGCUCAUAUUCUGGGUUUGAUCAGCAUCACUGGAAUGCUUGGAUCAGACAAGCAGCUGGAAAAGGACUAGAAUUUCUCGCUACAAUCAGUGGUAACAGUGGCAGCAUCUACUACUCUCAG